UAACGGACACAGUUUUGAACUCCUAUAUUAGCGCCAUUUAUGGCUGCUUGGACCACAGCAUCUUCGGAAUUUGUAGACAUCCUGGCAGCUUACAAUUAGUUCGAGGUGAGACACUGAAUUUGAGCAGAAACCAUAAGGAUACUCAAAGGACCUGUGACUCUCAGGAAAUGCAUCAAAUGAGAGGGACAGAUGAAACAGUUUCAAGACAAUGGCAGGAAAAACAUGCUGAAGAUUGAAACAAACCUUGGCUGGAAAUAUUUGAAGGUAUCUAGCCAGUCCACAAUGAAAGCUUCGGUGCACCCCAUGAGUCUUCUGGCAGAAAUGAUGGCGCCUGUACUCUUUGGUUUCCCUAAACAUCACACCCUGCCUGUUUAUACGAGGCUCUUCAAUUAAGUCUGCACCCAAAGAUUCAAUAAGAGGUAAGCAGUGGUAUUAUUCAAGUGAGCAGUGAGGUGAGCAGUUUCAUACGCUAUAAAAUGUAGAUUGAAUGAUAGGUCUCAUCACCAUGCAUUCAGCCAUUAACUUCAAGUUCUAUGAUUAGGGCUGUUCGAUAUAACGAUAUAUAUCGGAUGAUUUACACUAUCGUUUGUUUCGUGCUGUCACAAAAUAAACUGUUUACGGCAGUAUUUUUUCAUUGUUUUGACGGUCACUGUAGUGGCUAUAUUAAUUUCUUAAAGUUCUCUCUUUCUCUUAUAUUUAAUAUAACCACACUACAGACGGACAAGCCCCUGUUUUUAUGCGUUGUGGUUAGCAACAACGACGGUAACAGCAUCGCGUGUCCGCUUGUUUAUGUUCCACAUAAACCUUUCACAAUAAAGCUCAAGAUCCUGUUGAGACUUUUCAAAAUAAACUGAA